rnacentral:rRNA from 1 species
ACGGAGGGUGCGAGCGUUAAUCGGAAUUACUGGGCGUAAAGCGCGCGUAGGCGGCUUUGUAAGUCAGGGGUGAAAGCCCACGGCUCAACCGUGGCAUUGCCUUUGAUACUGCAGAGCUUGAGUUCGGGAGAGGGUGGUGGAAUUCCAGGUGGAGGAGCGAAUGCCGUAGAGCUCUGGAUGAGAAUCAGAAGCGUAGGCGAAAACCAGGAUCGCUUCUGCGGGUAAGGUGCGUGAGCGUGUGUUGCGGACAG